UUUUAGGACAGUGAACAAUAAUUUCAAAUUAUUUUUUGGUCUAUUUAAUUUUUAUUAUUAUUUAGAAAUAUAUAAUUUAUUACUUUAAUGGUAUAAUUGUAAUAUAUUAGUUAUUUUCUAUUUUAUAUUUUAUAGUAAAAAUAAAUAUUUUUUUUAACUUUGCCACAUCAGCUUUUUGGAUUACGUUUUUCAACCACUCAUUUUGAUAUAUAAGGACAUCGUAUUCUAAUCAAGAUGUACAGUAAACAUAUUUUCUGAUGACAUUACGCCUGAUGAUGAAUCGCCAAUGUUGAAUCUUAUAAAUUUCUCCGAUUCACCCAACCAAUAUCUUCCAUUAAUGGACCAACACGAAGCCCAUAAUUAUCAUGAAGAACAAGUCGAUUCACAUGAGUCUUUCUUACGAGAAACUCUUUUUAACGGACAUUCAAGUGAACAACAACGUUCCUUCAGUCAAUCCAUGUUGAAUUCAGGAAUCAAGUGUUUUCACAAUGAACCAAAGAGUGGUUGGUCAAAACCUCGAGCAAGCAAACAACGGAUUUGCACAUCCAACUAUAUUCUCCUGAGUUUCCAAACUAUCAUCAAGAGCAAGUUAUUCCAAUACCUUUUAUGAUACAACAAGAAAAUGCCGCUCCAUUUGGUGCACCUUUUCCUCAGCAAUUACACCGUUUCUCUAGCGAUAAUAACUUUCCGUUUAUAAUCGUUACAAAAUAUAACAACAACUUCUCAAAACUUGGUUUAUCUGCAGCAUCAACAACAGUGUUUUCAUGCUCAUACCCUCUCAACAAGAGAACAUAUGACAAGCAACCAAAAUGAUGGUUAUUAUAAUUUGGAUCAAAUUAUGGCGGUGACUUCAGAACCUUCAAGUCUUAUAGGCCCUCCAAACAAUCUCAUUCCCAAUCGCUACAAACUGCACAAUGUGAAGUAUUGCUAUGACAAUCAAUCUAAAGGCAAAGCUUUAUAGACUAGUUGAGCCUCAUACAUUAACAGAACAACCUACCGGUGACAACAAAGAGACAUGACGAUGAAGAUGGAUUAAAAUAAAGUAACCAAAGUUUAACGAUGACAAUGUUAUUAAGAUAAGGUUUACAAAUGUUAAUAGCAAUAUUAACUCAAAAGAAUAUUCCUUAAGCUUAGAGCUUGUCGACGUUAUUGUGAUCACAAACUUUAUUUUAACAGCAUUAUAUCAUAUUUUUUUCUUUCCAUGUUAGCU